rnacentral:rRNA from 1 species
AUUGAACGCUGGCGGCAGGCUUAACACAUGCAAGUCGAGCGGGGGAAGGUAGCUUGCUACCGGACCUAGCGGCGGACGGGUGAGUAAUGCUUAGGAAUCUGCCUAUUAGUGGGGGACAACAUCUCGAAAGGGAUGCUAAUACCGCAUACGUCCUACGGGAGAAAGCAGGGGAUCUUCGGACCUUGCGCUAAUAGAUGAGCCUAAGUCGGAUUAGCUAGUUGGUGGGGUAAAGGCCUACCAAGGCGACGAUCUGUAGCGGGUCUGAGAGGAUGAUCCGACACACUGGGACUGAGACACGGCCCAGACUCCUACGGGAGGCAGCAGUGGGGAAUAUUGGACAAUGGGGGGUACCCUGAUCCAGCCAUGCCGCGUGUGUGAAGAAGGCCUUAUGGUUGUAAAGCACUUUAAGCGAGGAGGAGGCUACUCUAGUUAAUACCUAGGGAUAGUGGACGUUACUCGCAGAAUAAGCACCGGCUAACUCUGUGCCAGCAGCCGCAGUAA